UGCAGAGACGCCGGGUGCCCCCCAGGCGCACGCGGGGGUCACAGCCCGGGGCCGGCGAGGGGCAGAGGAGGCAGCCGGCGGCUGAGGCGAGGGGGAGAGACACGAGGAAUAACAAUGGUGAAUUCCCCUGAGCUUUGGUGUUUUUAAUGGUGGAUUAGACUGUCAGGCAGCAAUUAAAUGGUGUAAUAAAAAGCUAAGUGCUCGUAUUUCAAGGUUCCUGCCUCCCGCUCCGCGGGGAGGCGCGGGGCAGGGGGCUGCUCCCGCUGCCCGUGUGGUCCAGCCCUGGCUUUGCGAGGAAGAGCAAAGGAACUUUUCAAAGGAGAUUUGCACACAGUUUACAUAGAAUUUGCCAAAUGUGGGAUUACGGAGCAUAAAUCUGUGCAAACUUCCUCCUGCAGCCUUUGAACGUGCGGCUUUUGAAUGAAAUGCUUCUUGUUUUGUUUGUGGCCUGCUGUUCGGAGACACGGAGGGACCUGCACAAAGACACGGCCCCGCCGCCGCUUCCCGAGGAGCCUGGGUUUUGUUUUUCUUAAAUUGGGUGGAGAGAAGGGAAGGCAAACGGUCGGGAAACUUAAAGGCAGAUGAAGCCAGCGGGAGCCUGGCGCUGCGCAGGGAGCUCUGCACAAACCUCGCAGCCACCGCGAGCCCUCGGCAAAACGCGCGGGGGCGGCCCCAGCCCGGGACCCCCAGCGCAGCGGUGAGGGCAGCCCCCAGACCCACCCCAGGCACGUUUCAGCCCUGGCACCGCACGCAGCUCGCCGACGCGCUCGAACCCAAGCAGAGGCAGAGCCGGGGGCUUCCAGAAGGGGCUGGGGGAUGCCGGCAGCCCCGGCUGGGACGCUCACGGCUCCAAGGGCUCCUGAAGCCAUUUCCCUUCCUCCUCCUCCUCUGCCCCCGGGCUCGUGCCCCCACCGAGCGCCGUUUUCCCCCAGGGAGCUCCGUCUCUCAGCGCAGCCCCUCGGGCAGGAGGAGCCCCUGGAAGCUGCCGCUGCCACCCCUGGCUGGUGAGGGGCCGGGCCGGGGGCUGCGCCGAGCCCCCGCGCUCGUCAGGCAGGGCCAGCACUGCGACACUGCCACUGCUGGGCUGCGGAGAAAUUCAGAGAGAUUGUGGGGAGAUGAAAUAACAGCCCUGCGAGAUGGCAUUUCCAAGCUGCAUUAAUAUCCAUCACGACGCCUCUUCCGACACCCCCUCCCGAUCCAGCGGAGAGCUUUGUUUGUUAAACCCUUGCUCGCUUUGCCCCGUGCUUCUGCAGCCCCACGCAGGCGGCGUUUGCCCCCCGAGCAGCACCAGGGCACCCCAGCCCCGGCCACCUCCUGUCCCUGGGCACCCAGCAGCACCCGGCACUCUCCGGACACACCAAGUGCUGCAGAAACACCCCCAAAAACACGUCUGCAGAAGGAGGCAUUUUUUCAGGCUGGGUCACCAGGAACUGUUCCCCUCCUGAGGUCUGCUUCUGUGGGCCCUGAGCAACCACGCGCACAAAACAACCGUGAGUGGAGACCGAGAGCAUCCUCCAGCGCUGGUGGCACCCACGGGGACCUGGUGGCACUUGGUGCCAGCCUGCACCCAGCAGCCAACGCCACCCGCGUGCAGCAGGCAGGGCAGAGGCUGCAUUAGGGGAGAGAUGCUCGAACAACACCUCAGGACACAGAACAGCUCUGAGGACGCUCCUUAUGAUCACGGGCAUCUCAAAUCAGUGCUCGCUCCCAGAAGCAGAGCUUAACAGAAAUCUCAGCGGAGCCGCUUGCGCCGAGGAACGGGCCUGCCGCGCUCCUGGAAACUUGGAAGGCAGGGGAGGAAACCAGUCGCGUGUGCCCCUGGGACACAAAAAGCUGCAGAGUAUUUUCCGAAGCAGAUUUCUGCUCCCUGGACAGACAGGGAGAGGGCACGGAGACGAAGGCAUCAGAUUCAUCUGUCAGGGCUGCGGCUGCAUCCCCGACCUGCCUGCAUGGCCGUCACCCACCCGGUGCCCGCUGCUGCUCUGCUCGGUCCACACGCUGCCUCCUUCCUCAACACACCUCUCCUGACUCGGAUUGAUGCGCCUCGCCGCCCUCAGCACCAGAUAAGUGCCUCUCAGCUCAGGCAUCCCUGCAGCCUGGGAUAUUUGGAGGUGUCUCUGCCCUGCCCGACCCCUCCACCACCUCCCUGCGCCCUCCAGCACGGUGUGGGGGCCCUGGGCUGGAAGCUCCACAAAGCCAAUGCCAGCACUCGGGGUCCACAGGCACCCUUAGGGUUACCUUCAAAACUCCGGCCAAAGCCUCCAUCCUCCCCAUCGGGGUCAGCCCCCAGCCCCGACACCCCCCUGCUCGCAGGAAGGUGGCCCUGCGCACACUCCCGCGGGAUGGGGCCGUGGUUUUCCUUCAGCCUGGUUUCUUCCCCUUGCACAGGGCCACAGGCAGCAGCAGCCCACAGUCACAGCCCCCCCGAGUGCCCUCCCAUCACCAUCACUGCCCCGAGCUUUUCCAAACCCCAGCAUCCUCCCCGUCCCCCCAGCGCAGCAUCCCCAGCCAGCCGAGCCCCCGCCGCGUGGGGCAGGCAGCGUGCGGUGCCCGUACAGCUUCUGGGUUAAAACCCCUGCUUUUCCACGCUUUUUCAGCUUCCAAUUUCUUUUUCCAAUACGUUCUCAGAAAUCCCUCCAAAUCCUCUCAGCACAGCUCAGAGGGAACACGGACAGGCACCUCGGUCGAGGCAGCCCCUGGAUCUCGCCGGGUUCACAGGAGCCGCACACCGGGGCCCCCCGCUUCCCGCAUCAGCCUUCACUUUCGUUCCCCCCCCUUCCCCUCCCCUCCUUGCUGUUUGGUUUUACUUAUCCUGCAGAAGAUAAGAAAAGCCAAGUUUUCUUGCUGCUUCAUCUUGAUUCAGUCAGUUUUAUAUCUCACAAGCACAUAUGCAGAUUUCUCCGCUUCUUUAUUUGUUCAUUAAGACUUCAAUAAAAAUGUUACAGAAAUGC